AUUGAACGCUGGCGGCAGGCCUAACACAUGCAAGUCGAACGAGUGGCGGACGGGUGAGUAAUGUCUGGGAACCUGCCCGAUGGAGGGGGAUCACUACUGGAAACGGUAGCUACUACCGCAUACCAUCGGAUGUGCCCAGAUGGGAUUAGCGAGUAGGUGGGGUAACGGCUCACCUAGGCGCCGAUCCCUAGCUCUUCUGAGAGGAUGACCAGCCACCUUGGAACUGAGACACGGUCCAGACUCCUACGGGAGGCAGCAGUGGGGAAUAUUGCACAAUGGGCGCAAGCCUGAUGCAGCCAUGCCGCGUGUAUGAAGAAGGCCUUCGGGUUGUAAAGUACUUUCAGCGAGGAGGCGUUACUCGCAGAAGAAGCACCGGCUAACUCCGUGCCAGCAGCCGCGGUAAUAC
rnacentral:rRNA from 1 species